UAUGGUGAUUAUAGCGGUGGGGUCCACCUCUUCCCUUUCCGAACAGAGAAGUUAAGCCCACUUGCGCUGAUGGUACUGCCUUUACCGGUGGGAGAGUAAGUAGUCGCCAGCU
rfam:Fabibacter misakiensis strain SK-8 scaffold5_cov71_read188, whole genome shotgun sequence.